rnacentral:rRNA from 1 species
AGUGAACGCUGGCGGUAGGCCUAACACAUGCAAGUCGAACGGCAGCACAGUAAGAGCUUGCUCUUACGGGUGGCGAGUGGCGGACGGGUGAGGAAUACAUCGGAAUCUACUUUUUCGUGGGGGAUAACGUAGGGAAACUUACGCUAAUACCGCAUACGACCUACGGGUGAAAGCAGGGGAUCUUCGUACCUUGCGCGAUUGAAUGAGCCGAUGUCGGAUUAGCUAGUUGGCGGGGUAAAGGCCCACCAAGGCGACGAUCCGUAGCUGGUCUGAGAGGAUGAUCAGCCACACUGGAACUGAGACACGGUCCAGACUCCUACGGGAGGCAGCAGUGGGGAAUAUUGGACAAUGGGCGCAAUCCUGAUCCAGCCAUACCGCGUGGGUGAAGAAGGCCUUCGGGUUGUAAAGCCCUUUUGUUGGGAAAGAAAAGCAGCAGGUUAAUACCCCGCUGUUCUGACGGUACCCAAAGAAUAAGCACCGGCUAACUUCGUG